GGUCUUCCAUUGCUGGUUCACUCCCCCAGUUGGCUGCAAUGGCUGGAUCUGGGCCAGUCUGAAGCCAGGAGCCAGGAGCUUCUUCUGGGUCUCCCACAUGGGUGUAGGGGCCCAAGGACUUGGGCCAUCUUCUGCUGCUUUCCAAUGCUAUAGCAGAGAGUUGGGUGGGAAAUGGAGCAGCUGGGACUCGAACCGGUGCCCAUAUGGGAUGUCAGCACUGCAGGCAGCGGCUUUACCUGCUACAUCAUAGCAUCAGCCCCAAAAGUGCCUCUUAGUAGGUUGUCACUGAGUGGAUGAUGGAAAGAAUGAACAAUCCGAUAGACUGGACCACACAGCUUCAGUGCUUGCUAAUGACAUUGGGUAAUCAAGGUGACAUGAAGUAAAGGAAAGUCCUGUUGAUUUGGUGCGAUGUUGCACUGCAGGGCUGCACGGUGCAGCCAGGCUCCUGGCCUGUCCUGCUUACCCUUGGCCUCCCGCCUCCCCAGGCGCUGCCAGCCGGGCACAGCUGUGUAACCACAGGGCCGCGGGUGGGGGUAGGACGCGCUUUCUCCAGCUGCAUUUCUGCGCUCACCUCUGAGUCCACUGGGACCCUGCAGCCUGGUGCCUGUGAGCUUCCAUCGUGGCCCGAGCAGAACCUGCCAAUACAGGUGAGCCUGAAGUGACACGGCUGUGGUGUCGGAGACCCUGAAAGUGCGUGCAUGCGUGUGUGUGUGUGUGUGUGUGUGUGUGAAUUCCUUUAAAGGCAUGUGUAAAUAGCUACCUCCAUUGUUCAUCUUCUCCUGAAAUAAUGUGUUCAUUACCUCAGUCUGAUUUACGAUGUACUUCAGUGCAUCCUGCUGGAAUCUUUCAGUUUAGAGAAGGAAGAGUAUGUUUUGCAGGCGGUGAGGCUGUAGCGGGGCCUGUGGCAGUGGGGUUAGAAAACGGUGGCCAAAGCCAAGCAGGAGGACGGCCCUGGUCACCACCCUCCCCUUGAGGGGUGCUGUUGGCUCUCCAUGGGGAGCCCAAGCCCAGGCCAGCCCAGGUCGACAUCGGGUCUUGCCGGGUCUGUUAACACAGCUCCUUCUGCCUGGUGCUCCUGGUAGAGCCAUCUCUCUGCAGUGCAGCCCUGACCAUGUCUCCCAGGCCAGCCCUGUGGAGGCAUCGCCUGGCUUCCCUGAAGCUGGGGGCCUGACCACUUCAACAGCCUCUCCCUUACUCCCCUGCAGCCUCCCUGUGGGUCCCCUGCCUCUCCCUCGGUCUGCGGCCCCCUCCCCUGCAUUGCCGCUGGCCCUUGAAAGUUCCCGGUCAGCAUGCCCUCCAGGAAACCUUCCCAGAAGCCCUGGUCCUGUGUUCUCACUCCAGGGAAGAUCCCUCCUCCGACUGUGAUCCACUGGCUCACCUGACUGGCCACUCUUGGAAGACGAGGAUCCUGUCUGUGACACACAGAAGGCUACAGCUUAUCUGUUAGGGUUGCAUUUGGCCACAAAUAGAAGAAACCCCCACCCCCCAAAAAAUAAUGGUGGCUUCAGUACCCUGAAAUGUCUCAAUCGCACAGAAGUCUGGUGGCAGACAGACAGGCCACACUGGAGUGAGGACGGCCACUCCACACCUGCCACCACGUGGACCCUCAGCCUCAGGAGACAGGAAGGGGAGGAGCAGGGCACUGUCCUUGGACCAGCCCCCGCCCUGUGUCCAUGGAGCUCUGCACCUAGCUGCAAGGGAAGCUGGGAAGUUCGGGCUUCCCCCGUUACGGGCAGGGGAAGGUGGGGACUGGGAGCAGGUGCAACCUUGGCCGCUCUGCCUCCUUCCUGACGUGUGCACUUUGAUGUGGGGCCACAUAGGUGAGUAUUUGCAGGGGCCUGAGGCAGGGAGCGGGUGUCACUGGAUGCCCACCACGUGAGGACGGGACCCUGCAGGUCCUCAUGACAGCCCCAUAGUGUGCUGGUGGGGUUAGCCCCGCCCCCGGCAGGCAGAAAAGGUGCAGUGACUUCCCCACGCUGUGCAAAUGCUAGACCUGGGUGAAAGCCGUUUUCUGCCUGCAAAGGCUGCAGGCUUUGUAGCUGCUUCCAGUCGGAGGCCCUCAACGCUGAGCCGAGGGACACAGAAGCAACAGCAGCGUGUCGGGCAGUGAGCCGGGAACAUGGCGGUGGCUGAGGCCUCCCGACCCAGCCCAGCCCGAGGGUCCCAGGCGAGAGCAUCUGCGUACCCAGGCAGCCCAGACCCAGCUCUCGAAAGCAGAAGAAAUACUUCCUGUAGCUGGCAAAUGGGGAGGGCUUGCCUUGCACAGAACAGAGUGUCUUUUUCUUUAUUUCUCUGGACUGUCCUCCGGAAAGCUUGCACCAAUUUACAGCCAAGCCAGUGCUCAGUGAGGGCUCCUCGCCCUCCCUCCCCAACGUGUAGAUUCCGAGCCCCCCGCCUGCGUCCAGGAGCCGGCCAGCCCCAGGCCGCCCUCACUGCCCCUCCUGCACGCUGUGUGUUUCCUCUGGACAUGGCCUCGGGGAAGCGGUGGCCCCUCCAUUUCUUGGGGAAGAGUGGUGGUGGGCAGCUUGCCUGGGGCAGACGUGGUGCAUUCUUACUUGCCCUGGGACAAGGUUAAGGCCUGGGUGUUACCAUGGUGGGGUUAGGGAGCCUGCCCGGGCCGAGCCCCUUCUCAGUGCCAGGCACUCUGCCUGGAGACCUGGCGGUUGUCUGGCAUGCCUCCAUGACACCUGGGCUGGGGGCCAGGACCCUGUGCACAGGAGAGGGCAGUGAGGCUGAGGCAUUGUGGUGUCUGAGGGUGCAUGGCCGUGCGGAUGCACCUUCCUGUGUGUGCCCAGCUCUCCUGGGUGGACAGGCCUGUCUGUCUGGGUGCUAGGGCAGGUAUCCUGGGGAAACCUUCCCUGUUAGAUGAGCAGGGGAUGAGACCAGGAGAAGCCUGUGGGUGCCAGCCUUCUAGGAUGUGGAGUGAGGAGAGCCGAGCUCUGUGGCGAGUGCCCAGGGCUGAGGUCUGGAGCCCAUCACUGCCUCGGUGGCCAAGGCUGCUGUCUCAUGGUGUGGUGGUCCAUGCAGGGUGGCCCUUAGCAGCCCAUGCUUGUUCCCUGUGCAUCUGGAGGUCAAGUCCAGGGGUCAGCAGGGCUGUGAUGCCCUGAAGAAGCAUCUGGGAGGGAGCUCUCUGUGUUCCUGCCUGUCUGGGCCCGUCAGCCCUCCCGUGGUGGAGCCAGCAAGGGCUGGGCCAGCCUCCUCUGGACGCCAUUCACUCUCAUCUCAGGACCCUGUAAUUCUGUUGGGCUCAGCUGGGCAGGUCCAGGUUCUCUCUGAAUGCAGGGUACUGAUUGGCUGCCCUACUUCCUCUUGGCCACAGCAGGACCCAUGGUAACAGUUCCGGGGGCAGCAUCUGUGGGGGCCGCUGUUCUGUCAGUCACAUUUGCUGCAGAGUUCAAGGGGAACUGCCCCAUCAAGUGGCCUUCCAGGGCCUUCCUCAGGUACUGUGGGGCCGGAGGGACCUGUGGGCAGUCAGCAGAGUCCAGCAGGGCUCUGGCCCCGGCCCUGCCACACCCUGACUCCUCACUUUCACCUCUCCCAGCCUUGGUUGACUCAUGUGGAAUGUGUGUGCACACACCCCCCCACCCCCCCGUCUUGGCCCUGUUCUCCUAAUACCUGUUUAUCCAGCAUAUAUGUGAGUACUUGCAGGGUAUUGGGCACUGGCUAUGACUGGUGAACAAGAUGAAGUGGCCCUCCACUCCCGCAGCCUCUGUUCCCACUGCCUGGCCGUCUGGACAGUGGCUGGAUGGGACAUGUUUGCCAGGUGCAUCUGGUGCAGUGGGCACAGCCCUGUCGUGUACCUGCCCCUCACCUCCCACUCUGUGAAACAGAAAUACUCAUAGCCACCUCCCAGGAUUGUAGGGCAUUGGACUAAGCGAGGCCUCGCCCCAGGGCAUCCUCUCCAGUAUGAGUCCAGGUUGGCCAGAUGCUGGCUGGUAGCAGAGAGAUGGCAGGAACUGUUGAUGGUGAGGUGUUGAGCCCAGUGGUGGGAAUGGUGGCGGGAUGCCCCUCUGUUUCACGCAUGCUGUGUGAGGUCCCUCCUGCAAUCUGGGGAGGCACAGGACUGCCCCUCCCCCUCUCUGGGCAGCCACACCUUGCAUCCUGCACCCACCUCUGCCUGCCCCUCCUCCGUGGGCACCCAGGCUCCUGUGCAUAGGGGGCUGUGAUGGUGGCUCAGGGCAGGAGCAUGGGAGAUGUUGAUUCUGUUUACCAAUGUGGAGAAACACCCACUGAGUGUGCGUGUGUGUGUGUGUGCAUGUGUGUGUGUGUGAGGGCUGCCUGAAGCCCCCGUGUCAGCGGGGGGGGGGGGGGUGCCUGUGCCUGCCGGUAGAAGCAGGAACCUGCUCCCGAUAGGAGCUGGAAGCUGGGUUUGUGUUCCCCCCACGGAAUCUCUGCUCCCUUUGAUCGGAGCAGGGUGGCCUGGCUGGAGGGCCUCUCCCUAGGAGAAAGCAGGGGGCUGUGUUGGACAUUUUGGAGUGUGCUCCCAUAGGUUGGAUACCCCCAGCCCAAAAGAGGAGGAAGAGGGAAAAGCCCCCAGGCCCAGCAGCAGCAAUAUUUCAAUAGGCGAUGAAAUGAACCAUCCCUGCAGCCGUAAGAAGCCUGCCAGUCAGCCUCGUUGCUGCCAGGACAAUCUUCUAAAAGCACAACUCUGAGCAGCAGCCAGCAGUGCAGGCCAGACGUCCUGGCUCCCAACUGCAGGGCCUCGCAGCCUGGCUGCCGCUGAUUUCUGCCGUGGUUGGGAGCCCCUGCUGUGGACUGUACUCACAGGGUGUCCUCCAGGCUGUACUCACAGGGUGUCCCGCAGGCUGUACUCACAGGGUGUCCCAAGGCUGUGCUCACAGGUGUCCCACAGGCUGUACUCACAGGUGUCCUCCAGGCUGUACUCACAGGGUGUCCUCCAGGCUGUACUCACAGGGUGUCCUCCAGGCUGUACUCACAGGUGUCCCACAGGCUGUACUCACAGGUGUCCCCCAGGCUGUACUCACAGGUGUCCCCCAGGCUGUACUCACAGGGUGUCCCCAGGCAGUGCUCACAGGUGUCCCCCAGGCAGUACUCACAGGGGUGUCCCCCAGGCUGUACUCACAGGUGUCCCCAGGCUGUGCUCACAGGUGUCCUCCAGGCUGUACUCACAGGGUGUCCUCCAGGCUGUACUCACAGGGUGUCCUCCAGGCUGUACUCACAGGUGUCCCACAGGCUGUACUCACAGGUGUCCCGCAGGCUGUACCCACAGGUGUCCCCCAGGCUGUACUCACAGGGUGUCCUCCAGGCUGUACUCACAGGGUGUCUUCCAGGCUGUACUCACAGGGUAUCCUCCAGGCUGUACUCACAGGUGUCCCCCAGGCUGUACUCACAGGUAUCCCCCAGGCUGUACUCACAGGUGUCCUCCAGGCUGUACUCACAGGUGUCCUCCCCUCUCCCCUCUGUUCACUUGCUCAGCCCCAUGCAUCCUCCCCUGCUGCUGUCCUACACACUGACCAGGAGGGAGCUGGCCCUUCCUGCGCAGGCCCACACAGGUUCCCCCUGCUGUGCCACCUGCUCUGACUGCCCCUGCUCAGGGCUGCCGCCUCCUCCUUGAGCUCAAGCGUUGGUCGGCGUCUGCCCUGGGACACGUCAUGUGGCCUCGUGUGGUGGGUGAGCUCUGGGCUUGCUCUGUGUCUCCUCAGGGCCCAGCACGGAGGUGACUUCCCUGAGCUCCGCACUGUGGCCCGCAGAUUCUUGCGCUCUGCCCGCCAUGGGAACCCGUGUCUCAGAGACAGCCAUCAGUGGACCAUGCAUGUGCUCCUGAGACAGAUCAGGCGAGGGAGGCAGACAGUUGGCAGGUAUACUGACCACUAGCACAGUCACUGUUCCUGCUGGGCAAGCCGGGAUUCUGGGAGAGCCGAAGGCAGGAGUGUGGCACAGUAGCAAGAUACACUAACCCAGAGCAGCAGAGUGUACUAGGCAGAAAAACAGCCCCGGAAGGUGUCCACAUGCGAAUCCCUGAGCGAUGAGUGCGACUUUACGUGCCAAAGGAAAUUAAGUCUGCAGGUGCAGUGAAGGUUACCAGUCGUCUGGCCUGAGUAAGAGGUCAGCUUGGAUGAUGCGGUGGGCCCAGUGUCGUCACACAGGUUCUUAAAAGCAGGCGAGGGAGGCAGGAGGGGCCCACAGGGGUGCUGUGUGAAAGGGCAGUGGAGGGGCGUGCAG